GACGAACGCUGGCGGCGUGCUUAACACAUGCAAGUCGAACGGAAAGGCCCUUCGGGGUACUCGAGUGGCGAACGGGUGAGUAACACGUGGGUGAUCUGCUCUGCACUUUGGGAUAAGCCUGGGAAACUGGGUCUAAUACCGAAUAGGACCACGCGCUUCAUGGUGUGUGGUGGAAAGCUUUUGCGGUGUGGGAUGGGCCCGCGGCCUAUCAGCUUGUUGGUGGGGUAAUGGCCUACCAAGGCGACGACGGGUAGCCGGCCUGAGAGGGUGACCGGCCACAGUGGGCUUGGGGAGGGGCCCGGACUCCAAAGGGGGGAAGGGGUGGGAAUAUUGCACAAUGGGCGCAAGCCUGAUGCAGCGACGCCGCGUGAGGGAUGACGGCCUUCGGGUUGUAAACCUCUUUCAAUAGGGACGAAGCGCAAGUGACGGUACCUAUAGAAGAAGCACCGGCCAACUACGUG
rnacentral:rRNA from 1 species